GCAUGACUUCGAUUCUCCUCAGGAAAUGAGGAUGAGCUAGAUGCAAUCAGAUCUAUAACCGGUGAAUUAGUUCUACCGUCAGUUGUCUUUGGUAGUUGCGGCUGUCGAUGUACUUGAUAAUUCUGAGAGACAGGCGCAUGACUCUGAAUCUCCUCAGGAAAUGAGGAUGAAGACGCAGAUUGCCUCUGUCCAUAUCCUUCAUAAUUCUGAGAGGCAGAGGGAGCUGCAGAUUGCCUCUGUCCAUAUCGUUGAUUCUCCCUCGGAAAUGAGGAUUGGCUACCAGUGCUUAGAUGUAAAGAUGAAGGCGCAGAUUGCUGCGCGUUGAACUUAGAUCCAUCUCCAGUGUCAGUGAGCUGAUCUUCCUGGGUACUGUUCUUGCUCAGGAAGCAACCCAUCAAAAGUUGCAGAAUCGCUCUAGUUGUGCUACCAAGACGACUACAACGAUCGGUAACUAGACGGUGGCCGCAGAGGUUUCUUGUCGUAUACGCUACUACGUAUUACAAUAGACGGAGGAGUGCGU
rnacentral:misc_RNA from 1 species